CCUACGGGUGGCAGCAGUGGGGAAUAUUGGGCAAUGGGCGAAAGCCUGACCCAGCAACGCCGCGUGAAGGAAGAAGGCUUUCGGGUUGUAAACUUCUUUUGACAGGGAAGAGCAGAAGACGGUACCUGUCGAAUAAGCCACGGCUAACUACGUGCCAGCAGCUGCGGUAAUACGUAGGUGGCAAGCGUUGUCCGGAUUUACUGGGUGUAAAGGGCGUGUAGCCGGGCUGAGAAGGCAGAUGUGAAAUCCGGGGGCUCAACCCCCGAACUGCAUUUGAAACUGUUGGUCUUGAGUAUCGGAGAGGCAGGCGGAAUUCCUAGUGUAGCGGUGAAAUGCGUAGAUAUUAGGAGGAACACCGGUGGCGAAGGCAGCCUGCUGGACGACAACUGACGGUGAGGCGCGAAAGCGUGGGGAGCGAACAGGAUUAGAUACCCCAGUAGUC
rnacentral:rRNA from 1 species